CAAAUAGAAUAUUUUAAUAAUUUGCUUUGGUUUUGUACAACGGCAGUAAAUAAUACUUGUUAAAAAUAAAUAAAUAGAUUUACUAGGCUGUUUAUUUGUUUAUUUUUGUCCAAUCGUAUAACUGGGUCUUUUUUUAAUCAUGAAUAUUCAUAAAUAGCAACUUAUUUUAGGUAUAUUUUAGGAAGCAUGUAUCUCAUGUGAUCAUGAUCUUGUUGCUAGUGGCGCCUCACUGUGGUCAAACUACGAACUACAACAGUAACUAUGGACAUCUCUCUACAUAAAAAUGAUAAGCAGGAGGAUCAAGAGAGCUUUGAACAGAGAGGAUGAAUCUGCUGGAGCGCCACCUGCAGGAUGAGCAUUAAAACAGCGUCAUUUAUUCACUGGAUGAACCUGAUCCAGUUAUGAACACUGGACAUUUACAAUUAUUCGAUACACAAUUAAUUUCUAAACGUAAUUCACCAAUUCUGUGUUUUGUACUGUAUUAGUGUUUAAAAUUAAAUUACAUUUACAUAAA